rnacentral:ncRNA from 1 species
GAUGGGAAUGAAGUUCUCCCCUGGCAUAAGCCUCAACCGCUUUUUCCAAAAGCUGAUGACUUCUGCAA